UACGUAGGGUGCGAGCGUUAAUCGGAAUUACUGGGCGUAAAGCGUGCGUAGGUGGUUCGUUAAGUCUGAUGUGAAAGCCCUGGGCUCAACCUGGGAAUGGCAUUGGAUACUGGCGACCUAGAGUGCGGUAGAGGGGUGUGGAAUUCCUGGUGUAGCGGUGAAAUGCGCAGAUAUCAGGAGGAACACCAAUGGCGAAGGCAGCUCGCUGGGGACGUGACUGACGCUGAGACGCGAAAAGCGUGGGGGAGCGAACAGG
rnacentral:rRNA from 1 species